rnacentral:rRNA from 1 species
CAGCAGCCGCGGUAAUACGGAGGGUGCAAGCGUUAAUCGGAAUUACUGGGCGUAAAGCGCACGCAGGCGGUCUGUCAAGUCAGAUGUGAAAUCCCCGGGCUUAACCUGGGAACUGCAUUUGAAACUGGCAGGCUGGAGUCUUGUAGAGGGGGGUAGAAUUCCAGGUGUAGCGGUGAAAUGCGUAGAGAUCUGGAGGAAUACCGGUGGCGAAGGCGGCCCCCUGGACAAAGACUGACGCUCAGGUGCGAAAGCGUGGGGAGCAAACAGGAUUAGAGACCCGAGUAGUCCCUGUCUCUUAUAC